rnacentral:rRNA from 1 species
AGGAUGAAAAGCUGCCGCAACAGCACGAGACCAUACACAGAUUUGAAAAACUUGCUCAGAUGGCUACGGAAAUUGCAAAGAGUGGCGAACGGGUGAGUAACACGUGGGAAACCUACCUCUUAGCAGGGGAUAACAUUUGGAAACAGAUGCUAAUACCGUAUAACAAUGACAACCGCAUGGUUGUUAUUUAAAAGAUGGUUCUGCUAUCACUAAGAGAUGGUCCCGCGGUGCAUUAGCUAGUUGGUAAGGUAAUGGCUUACCAAGGCGAUGAUGCAUAGCCGAGUUGAGAGACUGAUCGGCCACAAUGGGACUGAGACACGGCCCAUACUCCUACGGGAGGCAGCAGUAGGGAAUCUUCCACAAUGGGCGAAAGCCUGAUGGAGCAACGCCGCGUGUGUGAUGAAGGGUUUCGGCUCGUAAAACACUGUUGUAAGAGAAGAAUGACAUUGAGAGUAACUGUUCAAAGUGUGAUCGCUAUCUAACCAGAAAGGAACGGCUAAAUACGUGACAGCCAGCCGCGGUAAUACGUAUGUGCCAAGCCUUAUCCGGAUUUAUUGGAAGCGUAAAGCCAGCGCAGACGGUUACUUAAGACUGAAAAGAAAGCCCUCAGCUCAACUGAGGAAUUGCUUACGAAACUGGAUGACUUGAGUGCAGUAGAGGAAAGUGGAACUCCAUGUGUAGCGGUGAAAUGCGUAGAUAUAUGGAAGAACACCAGUGGCGAAGGCGGCUUUCUGGACUGUAACUGACGUUGAGGCUAGAAAGUGUGGGUAGCAAACAGGAUUAGAUACCCUGGUAGUCCACACCGUAAACGAUGAGUGCUAGGUGUUUGAGGGUUUCCGCCCUUAAGUGCCGCAGCUAACGCAUUAAGCACUCCGCCUGGGGAGUACGACCGCAAGGUGGAAACUCAAAGGAAUUGACAGGGACCCGCACAACCGGUGGAGCAUGUGGUUUAAUUCGAAGCAACGCGAAGAACCUUACCAGGUUCUUGACAUCCCUGGACAACUCCAGAGAUGGAGCGUUCCCUUCGGGGACAAGGUGACAGGUGGUGCAUGGUUGUCGUCAGCUCGUGUCGUGAGAUGUUGGGUUAAGUCCCGCAACGAGCGCAACCCUUAUUACUAGUUGCCAGCAUUCAGUUGGGCACUCUAGUGAGACUGCCGGUGACAAACCGGAGGAAGGUGGGGAUGACGUCAAAUCAUCAUGCCCCUUAUGACCUGGGCUACACACGUGCUACAAUGGCGUAUACAACGAGUUGCCAACCCGCGAGGGUGAGCUAAUCUCUUAAAGUACGUCUCAGUUCGGAUUGUAGGCUGCAACUCGCCUACAUGAAGUCGGAAUCGCUAGUAAUCGCGGAUCAGCACGCCGCGGUGAAUACGUUCCCGGGUCUUGUACACACCCCCCUUUCUCCCAUGAGAGUUUGUUUCUCCCAACACUCAUGUGGGGUAACUCUGUCUGCGGCACACCGCG